GGCCGUGUUCGGCCUCAGUGUGGGUAUGCGGGGCGGAGGAAGGUGACCCGAGCAAGCUGGGUGUGGCCGGUGGGGAGCGAGGCCUUCGCCCGGCAGGGACCGCCGGGGUCCGGGUAUUUCCCGUCGCCCAGCUAGCUUCAGCUCCGUCAGGGUCGAGAGGCGUGUGGGGGCGGGGAAGGCGCGGUCGGAGCGCUGCGGAGAGCCCACUCGCCGCUCGCCCUCUGCGGGCCCUUUCUGGUGGUUUCCUUUGUGUCCGCCGAUGUCUGACAGAGCUUCCGGCCGGUUUCCCUGCAGGGCCGCCCCUAUUUUCGUCCCCGCGGACUGCGGCAACGCGGGCCCGGCCUCUUUGUUCCGCCUGCAGAGUGGCCAGGGAUGCUGCGCGUCCUAGCUCUGCCCGGGUGUGUGGGCCUGAUGGCUUUGGGGUCGCUGUGCUUCCCCAGGAAGGAUCCACUCGCACGGGAAGGCCUUGCAAAUGUGGUUCAGUAGAUUUUUGACAGGAAGCACGCGGGUGUCGUCCGGGCUAUCAGCGGUGUGGGUGUGCUCUGGAAUUUUAUUAGACACGGAGCUGGAGGGGUGGAAGCAUUUUCAGUGCAGCGUCAUUUCUUAUUCAGGUUGCCACAGUUAACCUCACUUUGCAGAGUAGUCGUUUCCUCCAAAAGACAAUAGUGGCGAUGCAGUUAAUAUGAAAGGCAUCGUAGCUUAUCGCGAGACCUUGUGAAGUUGAAUUCAAGCCACAAGAGCAGAUACGUUUGCAAUGAACAUUUUAUGAAGAAAGCAUUUAUUCUUAAAAAGGUUAGAUUUGAACUAUGAAGUAUAAAUAUGAGCUAAAGCUAUUUUGUAAAUGCCCUUUAAAAUUGAGUUGAAGGUAUUUUGUUUACUGAGUUUUUAUCAUAAGUAGGUCCUAAGAUUUGUUGAGUGAUUUUUUUUUUCUUCACAUAUGAGAUGACUGUAGUGAGUUUUCUUUAGUCUAUUAAUAAGUGAAUUUCAUUGACUCAUUUUUGUAAGUUGAACCAGUCUUGUUUUUUUCAUAGACUCAGCCUCACUAGUCACAAUGAUUUUUGUUUUUUUAUGCCCACGUACAGUGUGCACUUACCACGAGGUAUAAGAUACGUAAUGAAUGUUUAAAGAGUAAACAUUUUCCACAUCAACUGUUGCCUUACUAAAUCUAGAAAAUUUCUAUGUGAACUACAAUGACAAUAAAAAUGAAACUACUACAAAAAUAAUCUUUACUUGAAUUAUCAUACCUAAGGCAGUUUUCACACAAGAACAGUACACAAGUCUUUUUUACACGGAUAGCCUAACCCUAACCCUAGGAUUUUGUUUUCCUGUCUAGUAGGACACACAUGACACCUACCCUAGGGUUUUGUUUUCUGGUCUGGUAGGACACAUGUGACAUCUUGUGUUCUGUUUUCUCAAGAGGUUCUUGUGAUGUUUCUCCUGUCUGUUCACCAGUCUACUCUGGAAUUCUUUUGCACAGUUCUUUAGGCAGAUACAUAUUAUUCUUCCUAUGUUGUAAUAGACCCUUUAUCAAUUCCAGUCCCAAUUCUCUAAGAAAACUUCUCCAUGAUGUUCUGUGCUUGUUACUGUCUUUGUAAACUAUGAAACUGUGCCUGACAUGUUUAGGAUCCAGUGGAGCACAACCAUCGGCCAUUACUUUCUGUUUCAAGUGACAUCGCAGUUGUUGUAUAACUCAUUAACAUUAUCUGCUCUGCCUUUCAUUUUGUUGUAAAUUGUGAGCAUUUCUGGCUUGAUAUGUAUUUAAGAUUCAGUAUUUUUUUUUUUUGUAAUUUGGUUUUGAGAUGGGGUCUCAUGGAGUAGUCCAGCACUAGCUGACCUGUGACCUUCAACAUACAGACCCCACUCAUUACAGGUGUCUACCACCACACCCAGCUUUACUAUUUACCUUAUCAUCAUGGUAUAACAGUGACAGUAUCAAUAUUAACUUUUUUUUCAACGUUGUAUAGUCCAGGCUAGCUUGGAACUCUUUAUGUAGGCCAGGCUGACCUUGAACACACAGGAUCUUCCUGCUUCACCCUCCUAAGUGCUGGGAUUAUAGGUGUGCAGCACAUAUAAUACUGGCAGUAUCAAAGGGUAGCGAUAGAUUUCUCUGUUGCGAACUUGGAACAUUUUUUCAGGUCUCUACUGUGUUCUUAUAAAUAAUUCCUGUACUAGCCAAGUGUUUUUUUUUUUUUUUUUUAAAGCAAUGUAACAUUAAUACCUAGCUUGUGAACCAAUUGUUGAAAGUGACAUUUAUUUUUUGAAAUAGGUGCAAAAAGUAUGUUUACAAAGCUAUAUGGUAUAGCACUGUGCAAAUAAAGGCCUACCUGAGUUUCAAGAUAAAUUUCCAAAUUGCAGGUAUAAGAUGUCUUCACAUCUACCAGGACAUGUAUUUUUAUGCUGUACUUGCAAGGCGUAUUUGGCAUAGAUCACCAAAACCUUUAGUGACUGUGAAAUGAUGCAAGUUGUUUGUGAAUUGUCAUAUAUUCAGAUGAUGUAUAAAUUGCUUGAAAGUUCAAAACAAAGCCUUCAAAAAAUGAGCAAAUAGCAGUCAAGUUGUUGGGUUUUCCCCUUUUUUUGUUGAGGGUCUUUUUGUCACUGAGACUAGGCAGUUUUGAAAUUUCAAAUUUGUUGAGUGUCAUUCAUUGCCACAUCCAUCACUUUUUCAUAAACCCUUUAGAUUCUGAUUAACACAAUUAGAAUGAAAGUCUUUUAACUCAGAGUGUGAGAUGUCAUGAUAAAUGCAUUUUUUUUUUUUUUUUGGUCUUUUUCCUUUUUAUUGGUAGCGGGGAUCGAACUCACGACUGCCUGCUUACAAGGCAGGCGCUUAUGCCGCUCAGCUAAAUCUCCAGCCCCGAUAAAUGCAUUUUUGAAUACUACUAUUGAUGUAUAGAGAAUAUUUUACUUGAAUUUUACUUGUAUUUCAAAACAUCUUGUGACAUCAUUCAUUACAGUUUCCAACAUUGAAUUGUAGUGUUAGCAUUCUGUCCAGUGGGCUUCACCCAUGUCAAAGAAUUUAACAUCUUUUCACUUGGUUCUAAUUUUGGGUUCUUUAGAUAUACAUGAUCACUUUGUAAUAUAUUGACUAGUCAAAUAUUUAUUUACAAUACUGCUUUUGUCCUCAUCUGAAUCAGACUCUUCAUUCUGUUGUAUCUUGCUUUGAUCGAAGUCAUCGGUAGCUGAAUCGCAUGGUGCCUUACUUUCGUCCUUCUCCCAAGUUGUAAAAGAGGGUUUUUAUUUGACAGUGUACUGAAUUGGGCUAAUUCUGUAAGAAAAAAAAAAAAGACAAAAUACAAUAAAAUUAUAAAUACAUCAAAAUGUACUUAUGGCGCAUAACCUGGGUAAAACCCAUUUAUACUUCAACACAUGUGCACGUAUUUUGGGUGCACCAUACCAAGUGGGUGGACACACAGAUUGCAUCCUGUGUUCCCCCAGCUGCUGAGACACACAGCCAGCUACUGUUAUGCUAAAGUCCAUAUUUUCAAUAGAAAAAAGAUGGUCAGGGUGUUUUUUAAUCCACCUUAAUGCCUCUUGGAUAGUGACCAAUUAUGUUUUCUACGGCUUUGUUGAAUUUUGAUCUGUGACCUUAGUUGUUUUCACUGCAUUUGGGAGCAGUGAAAUGGGAGUAUUUUUGACAAUUACUUCCUCAGAAGGAGUCUUUGUUUUUGUCCUUAAAUUAAUCUGCUUAACAGUACUCUGAUACUUGGGUUAUUUUUUUUAAAUUUUAUAUCAUUUCUAUUGCUGUGUCUUCAGAUUUAUUCUAUUCUAUCUCAUUGGUGGCACAGGGAUUGAGGUUUUUUUUGUCUGUUAAAGUUGGAGAUGCUUCUUUUAUCUUUCUAUUUCCUUGGCGUACUGUCUCAUGUUUUCCUCUAAGCAUGUGAAGUCGGUUAAGAUUACAAGACUUGGAAAUGAACCCUUGUUUGAGCUCAGUUGAGUUCAGGUUGGUUUGAGCUCAGUAAUUCUUGCUGUGGAUUGUAUUUUCCUGCUUCUCAUGCCUACCAAUGUUUUGUUAGGUAUCAGGUGCAAAUUUUAAUCUGCUGAGGGGUAGAUAUACUUACAUAAUUGAAGAGAUAUACUUGGACCCUGCUCUUGGACAUAAUUGAGUUACUUGAUGAAAAUCUGAUACAUUUUGAUGUUCAUGUUUAGGCUUUUUUAAAAGUGAAAGGAGAUCUUUAAUCUUAUGACUACUUUCCUACAGUGCUAUUUCACUAUGCAGUGCUCCAUAUGUUACAAGUUUUCUAUUCUGGGUGGUAGAAUCCCAGAUACUAGCUAGGAAGAAGGUCCCCUUGAGUAAUUUUUUUCAAAUGUAUGGGCUGAUACGUGCUUAGCUACAUUUGCUAUCUGGGUAGCUCUCUCCAAGAUUCUGCCCUAGAAACUCUACAUUGCUUCAUUUCCCAAGUCCCAGCUCUGUGAUGUCAAGUGAACUUCUGAACUCUACCUGCCAUUGUGUGCUCCCCAGGCAGGAGGACAGGCCCUUGAGACUCACCCUAACCUCUCUCAGAAGUAACUGACUGAAUUGCUUAGUUAGAAGAACCAGCUUCAUUUAUUUUUCUCAGUGGUUAAAGCAGAAGGUAAGUGUGGUCACUGCCACUUCAUUUUAGGUAAUUAUACUAAGCAAC